rnacentral:tRNA from 1 species
UGGCUCCGUUGGUAGAGCAUGGUGUUUGCAAUGCCAGGGUUGUGGGUUCAAUUCCCAC